rnacentral:rRNA from 1 species
CGCUAGCGGCAGGCUAACACAUGCAAGUCGAGGGGUAGGGUGCUUCGGCACUUGAGACCGGCGCACGGGUGCGUAACACGUGUACAAUCUACCUUUUGCUAAGGGAUAGCCCGAAGAAAUUUGGAUUAAUACCUUAUAGUAUUGUUUGGUGGCAUCACUGAAUAAUUAAAGCUCUGGUGGCAAAAGAUGAGUACGCGUCCCAUUAGCUAGUUGGUGUGGUAACGGCAUACCAAGGCUACGAUGGGUAGGGGUCCUGAGAGGGAGGUCCCCCACACUGGUACUGAGACACGGACCAGACUCCUACGGGAGGCAGCAGUGAGGAAUAUUGGACAAUGGUCGGAAGACUGAUCCAGCCAUGCCGCGUGCAGGAUGACGGCCUUAUGGGUUGUAAACUGCUUUUAUACAGGAAGAAUAAGGUCUACGCGUAGAUUGAUGACGGUACUGUAUGAAUAAGCAUCGGCUAACUCCGUGCCAGCAGCCGCGGUAAUACGGAGGAUGCGAGCGUUAUCCGGAAUCAUUGGGUUUAAAGGGUCCGUAGGCGGGCUUAUAAGUCAGAGGUGAAAGCACUGAGCUCAACUGAGUAACUGCCUUUGAAACUGUAGGUCUUGAAUGUUUGUGAAGUAGCUGGAAUGUGUAGUGUAGCGGUGAAAUGCAUAGAUAUUACACAGAACACCGAUUGCGAAGGCAUGUUACUAACAAAUUAUUGACGCUGAUGGACGAAAGCGUGGGGAGCGAACAGGAUUAGAUACCCUGGUAGUCCACGCUGUAAACGAUGGAUACUAGCUGUUUGGAAGUAAUUUUGAGUGGCUAAGCGAAAGUGAUAAGUAUCCCACCUGGGGAGUACGCACGCAAGUGUGAAACUCAAAGGAAUUGACGGGGGCCCGCACAAGCGGUGGAGCAUGUGGGUUUAAUUCGAUGAUACGCGAGGAAACCUUACCAAGGUUUAAAUGGGAAACGACGUAUCUAGAGAUAGAUAUUUUCUUCGGACGGUUUUUCAA